AUAAAUAAUAAAUUUUAUGAUUUUGGAAAUUUUUUUUAAGUUUAUUUUACAUAUAAAUUUUAGUAUGAAAUUUUAAUUAUUUUAAUAAUAAUUAAUUUUAUUUGUAGUAAUUAACAUUAAAAAUUUAAGAAAUUAAGAUUUAGUAAUAUUGAAAUUAAUAACAAAUUUUGUGCCAGCAGUUGCGGUUAAACAAAAGUUAAAUUGAAUUUUAUUAGAAUAUUAAUAAAUAUAAUUAAUUAUUUAAUUUAAAUAUUAAAUUAUUAGGUGAAAUUUUAAUUUAAUUAAAAUUUAUGAUAAUAUAUGAUUUAAUAAAUUUUAUUAUAAACUAGGAUUAGAUACCCUAUUAUUAAAAAUUUAAAUAAAAAAUGCUAAAAUAGUAUAUAAUUAUUUAUUGAAACUUAAAUAACUUGGCGGUAUUUUAGUUCAUUUAGAGGAAUCUGUUUAUUAAUUGAUAAUCCACGAAUAACUUUACUUAAUUAAAAAUUUUGUAUAUCGUUGUUAAAAAAAUAUUUUUAAAUAAAUUUAAUAUUUUAAAAUUUAUAAUAAAAAUUAAAUCAGGUCAAGAUGCAGAUUAUAAUUAAGAAUAUAAUGGAUUACAAUAAAUUUAUUUAUACGAAUAUUUAAUUGAAAUAUUAAAUUGAAGGUGGAUUUAAAUGUAAUUUUAUUUAAUUUAUUAAAAUGAUUAAAAAUUAAAAUAUGUACAUAUUGCCCGUCGCUUUCAUAUAUAAGUUGAAAUAAGUCGUAACAAAGUAGAGGUACUGGAAAGUGUUUCUAGAAAGAA
rnacentral:ncRNA from 1 species